rnacentral:tRNA from 1 species
GGGCUUAUAACUCAGCGGUAGAGUGUACGCCUGAUAAGCGUAAAGUCGAUCGUUCAAUUCGAUCUAGGCUCA